rnacentral:rRNA from 1 species
AUUGAACGCUGGCGGAAUGCUUUACACAUGCAAGUCGAACGGCGGCACGGGGGCAGCCCUGGUGGCGAGUGGCGAACGGGUGAGUAAUACAUCGGAACGUGCCCGGUCGUGGGGGAUAACGUAGCGAAAGUUACGCUAAUACCGCAUACGAUCUGAGGAUGAAAGCGGGGGACCUUCGGGCCUCGCGCGAUCGGAGCGGCCGAUGUCAGAUUAGGUAGUUGGUGGGGUAAAGGCCUACCAAGCCGACGAUCUGUAGCUGGUCUGAGAGGACGACCAGCCACACUGGGACUGAGACACGGCCCAGACUCCUACGGGAGGCAGCAGUGGGGAAUUUUGGACAAUGGGCGCAAGCCUGAUCCAGCCAUUCCGCGUGCAGGACGAAGGCCUUCGGGUUGUAAACUGCUUUUGUACGGAACGAAAAGGCUCUGGCUAAUACCUGGGGCUCAUGACGGUACCGUAAGAAUAAGCACCGGCUAACUACGUG